rnacentral:rRNA from 1 species
UACGAAGGGUGCUAGCGUUGCUCGGAAUCACUGGGCGUAAAGCGCACGUAGGCGGACUCUUAAGUCGGUGGUGAAAUCCUGGAGCUCAACUCCAGAACUGCCUUCGAUACUGGGAGUCUCGAGUCCGGGAGGGGUGAGUGGAACUUCGAGUGUAGAGGUGAAAUUCGUAGAUAUUCGCAAGAACACCAGUGGCGAAGGCGGCUCACUGGCCCGGUACUGACGCUGAGGUGCGAAAGCGUGGGGAGCAAACAGG